AGUGAACGCUGGCGGUAGGCCUAACACAUGCAAGUCGAACGGCAGCACAGUAAGAGCUUGCUCUUACGGGUGGCGAGUGGCGGACGGGUGAGGAAUACAUCGGAAUCUACUUUUUCGUGGGGGAUAACGUAGGGAAACUUACGCUAAUACCGCAUACGACCUACGGGUGAAAGCAGGGGAUCUUCGGACCUUGCGCGAUUGAAUGAGCCGAUGUCGGAUUAGCUAGUUGGCGGGGUAAAGGCCCACCAAGGCGACGAUCCGUAGCUGGUCUGAGAGGAUGAUCCGCCACACUGGAACUGAGACACGGUCCAGACUCCUGCGGGAGGCCGGAGGGGGGAAUAUUGGAAAAUGGGCGCAAGCCUGAUCAAGCCAUACCGGGUGGGUGAAGAAGGCCUGCGGGUUGUAAAGCCCUUUUGUUGGGAAAGAAAAGCAGCAGGUUAAACCCCCGUUGUUCUGGCGGUACCCAAAGAAUAAGCACCGGCUAACUUGGU
rnacentral:rRNA from 1 species